UGGAGCGCCCUACAGUGCGGCCAGGCGCUGUAGCUGCCCCCUCCAAACCGCCUCCAGCCACCUCGGGCCUCCCCAGCGCACCCGACGAGACGCCUCGACGUCCGAGACACGGCAGCUGGUCGGCCCCCUCCUUCCUCUCUCUUUCCUGGCCCUGCUCACACGCGCACCAUGGCCGCCCGAGAGCUCCAAUGAGCACACUCACACGCGCCAUGCCCUGACGCUCCCCCGCUCCUUCUCUCCCUUCCUCUGGGCGUAGACCACCCCUACGAACACCCCGGACACGCCCACGUGAGCCCCCGUGACAUACAGCGACGACAACAACCUCGCCGGCGCAUGGUUCCACGGCAAGCCCUGGCCCGGCUAUAUAAGACCUCCCCGAGGCCUCCUCUCCUCACCACUCGACCUCUGCAGCUCCAAAACACCCCCUGAACCACCCACUCCUCUCCAGAAGCACCCGAGCUCGAGAUCGAGCUCGCGCUCCGCCGCUUUGGCUCGCCGGAGUUCGCGAGCUGCCGGAAACAGCCGGAACCGUCGCCACCCGAAGCUCCUCCGCCGCGUGACCUCGUCGCCGGCGAACUAGGCCACCCCGGCGACCGCAACCACCUCCACCUGCACGGCGACUCUGCGCUGAGUCCAAUCCUGCCCUCCUCUCGCCUCGCCGUGCCCUGCAUUGUCGCCGGUGAGCCCGUCGGCCCUCUGUCGCAGGGUUAGGGAUGACAGAUUGCGUUGCUGACGAAGGAGUUGGACCAGAAGACUUUGAAGACCCAGAAGACUUUGUUGAGCCAGGCAAG